rnacentral:ncRNA from 1 species
GGUCAUGAGCGCCAGCAUCGAGCCCCGGCUUGCUGGCCGGCAACCCUCCAACCGCGGUGGGGUGCUCCGGGUGAAGACCUGGUUACUCGGUUGCAGAACGCAACCGAAGAACAAGCGCGGGUC